AUACGAGGGGUCCUAGCGUUGUUCGGAAUCAUUGGGCGUAAAGCGGGUGUAGGUGGACUAUUAAGUCAGAAGUGAAAGCCCUGGGCUCAACCCAGGAAGUGCUUUUGAUACUGGUAGUCUUGAGUGUGCGAGAGGAUAGCGGAAUUCCUGGUGUAGUGGUGAAAUACGUAGAUAUCAGGAGGAACAUCGGUGGGGAAGCCGGCUGUCUGGCCUAACACUGACACUCAGACCCGAAAGCGUGGGGAUCAAACAGAAGUAGAUACCCUAGUAGUCC
rnacentral:rRNA from 1 species